ACUGCAAGAUGAUGACCUGAGCCAAAGUUGGCAGCGUAACUGACUGAGCCACCCAGGCGUCCCUGCAUUGCCACUUUUGAAUGCAGAUAUCAGAGUAUUUAAUGCCUAUGUGGAAUCAUCAAAAUUACAUCAUUCCUAUUUCAUGGGACCCCUUCCACUUGGCCAGAAGAAGCAUAUACAAGUGACUCAGGAAGGUUGUGGAGGAAAGGAGAGCUCAUCAGCACAAAGCGAGCUGAGGUGGACUCCUGUGGGCAUCGGGGUAUUUGCAAGUGAAUCUUCACACCCUGGCUGGUUUGAACUCUGACAUCCCCCAGCAUUGUGUGACCUCCGGGAGCUGCUUGCUGCCACGCAGCCUCCUGGAGUCUUGCCCCACGUACGUGCCGCACGACAGAAGGGUAUGUCUACUACCAGUUACUCAGCCACGGCCGGACCCCAAACUCUAAACUGAGGUUUUGAUUCCAGCGAUUAAAUAUUUUAUUUCUGGGAAUCCUAUGGUAAGUGUAUCUGUUUAAUUCCAAUGUUUUGUUUUGUUGUAAAACCAAUUUUGGUCAUUUCAGCUUGUGGCACACAGAGCCCUCGUGCAUUCUGUCUGUAUUCAGUUCCAGGGUCUGAUUUGUUGGGGUCUAAUUUGCGGUCUCUGUCGCCUCUCACAGUGGCUGGCCCUGUGUGGACUUGGUUGUGUUCAGGGGCUUGUGACUCAUCUAGGAGAGCCGUGUUGGUUUCUUCCUUCAGCCAGCUGUGUCUGUGUGUGUACACGGGCCUCAGCACACGCAGGGCCUGCCUGAAGGUUUUAGCCCCAGGAGGGGUCUUAGACUCGGGCUCCCCUCCUGCUGUCCCCAGGUCCCCUGUGCUCACAUACUGGCGGCACAGAGCUCGGCCUCCAGGCAGUCCUGCCCCUUCACAAGGCCUGCGGCUCCCUCCUCCUCUGCUUCCAAGCACCCCGGAAGUCGGAAGUCGGCCUGGCUGUCCCCAGUUACCACCUAUGUUCCGGGUUAUUUCCAAUACAGGCUGGCUACCUAGUCCUCACCCCGGCUACUUGAGGGUCAGCUCUUGGAGUUUUAAAAAUUUAUUUUUACCACUUUUUUUUUUUUCCUGAAGAGAAAAAUCCCUGGGAUGAGAUAUGCUUGUAUUUGGUGGUCGAGCUGUUGUGGAAGAGACGCUUACCUCUGACCUUUUGGGGAGCAGAAACACAUGUAUUAAUUUUACCAUCAGGAAAAUAACAAAGAAGUCAACAGAUAUCUGUAUCUGAAUUAAUUUUCCAGCUUGCACCUUUAACUCUUAUAGCACCCAGAGCUUGCAGAGUAAAACAUUAUAUGCCACAGACUGGAAGUAUCUUUAUUCAUUGCCUUUCAUUCCUAAACUCAUUUUAUCUCCGUUUAAAAUCUGCUAGUGGACUGAUCUUACCUUUAAGCUGCUCACUUCAUCCUUGAAAAUACAGAUAGAAAAUGUCAUACUGAAUUAGACUAAGAAUCAAGUUCAGUUCUUGAUCUCUUAAGGUAAACAUCGCCAAAAUAUGUUUUAUGAGAGAGUGUGGCUUCUAUCUUCGCCUUUUUUGUCUACUGGCUGAUUUCCACCAAUGGCCCUUUAUCAACAAAUCGCUUUCCCACUCCCACCACCCAAGCUGAAAUCAUGCCAUGUUCUAUAAAUUCACCUUUAUACUCUCAUUUUUCUUAAAACCAUCUGUCUGCUUCAAGAAGUAACCAACCUAAUUCUGGAUUUGGUAAAUAAAUCCACGCAACACCUGACCUUCAUGGUUUAUUCUUUUUCUGGACUGAGAUCCUAAGUUUUAAAAACAUGCUUUUCUUGACAAAAUAAACAAAAACAUGGUAGAAACACCCAAACAGUCCAAUAACGGCUCAUUAAAUAUAUGAGUUAUGGUCCCGUUCAUUUAAUAGACCUGUGGCCCCAUCCUCACAGGUGACCAUUGUUCAGUUCUGUAUGGGGGCUUCCAGAUUCUAAGUAUGGAGGCUAAAUAUAUUCUUUUGGUCACACCUUUUUUCCACUCCUUCUUAAAAUUGUAUGGCAGAAAAGCAUAGCUUGCUUUCUCAAGGGCAAGAGAGUACAGGCACACAAUUUUCAAAUCUCGAAAAUAGAUGGUAAUGAACUUCUAGACCAAAGAGAACUUAAAUGCUUCAACAUAGAGACCCCUGAAAGAGGCAGGUUGACACUGCAGAGUUCCAGAAAGACUUGAGAAUGGAAGGAUCCAGAUAUCUCUGAAGUUGGCAUUGUAAAUAGGAUUGACUGAAAUUCUGUUUAUAAAGCAUUUUGAUCUCAAGCUCCCUCCUGCACCAACCCCCUCUCCCCUCACACACCAGCAGAAACCUCUUCUGAGGCCAAACCACGGGUAUUCCACAUACAGAGAAACUAGCAUAUUUGAAGGAAGGGGUAUUAAAUAAAGCGCUCCUUCCUAUACACAACUCUGAACAAAAUAGCAGCUAGGCUUUAACUGACAGGCAGAAGAAAUUGGAACCAAAGAGAAAGACCUAUCAAUACUGAAAAGUCAAGGUCAUAUGAAGGGACUCAGCCAGAAAAGCAAUGAGUGACACUCACCAGUCAAAAGCUAAUUCCAUAUACACAGAGCUUGUAAUUUGUUUUAAAAUAUGAACAUAUAGAAUAAAGAAAAAUAUAUGAAUAAAUAAGAACAGGAGGUACAUUUGAAGAACAAAUUUAAAAAAUAGGAUGGAGUAAGUAAAAAGCUCAAGAGAAUGGAUAGACAAUAAGGAGGUUCUCAAAAAAUCAAGAAAUCUUUUAAAGGGGGACAAUAGAAAGAUAAAUAGAUCAACGGUAAGGAGGAGGAAAAGAAAAAUUACAGAGUGCAGGAGAUUUGAGUAUCUGAAUAAUAGAAAUUCCAGAGAGACUGGACAGAGAAAAUAAGGAGAGGACGAAGUUUCCAAAGAAAUUAUUGCUUUGUUGUUAUUUUUGUUGAACUAAGUUUUUAGAUGGAAAGAACUAUGGAGUGCCCAGCAAAGAACUAUGGAGUGCCCAGCACAUCAGUGAGCAACGAUCUUUACCAAGUUAGGUCAAUGUGAAAGUUCAUAACAGUAGGGACAGAGAUUCUAGGGGGGAGCGGGGGGACCAAACAGAUCAGGAAUCAGAGUAUGUGAUUUCCUGAGAAAAGUGUCCAAAGCUGGAAGACAAAGGGGCAAUGCGUUCAAAGCUCUGAGGGCGGAGAUGCACCGCCCUAGAUUCCUUCCUAUCCCUGGACAACUUGUUACCCACUCAGGAGGUACAGUAAACGCAUCUUUAGGCAUGUGAGAGCUCAGACGUGUAUCAUGCAGCCUUUCCCAGGAAAUGAUGGAGGACUGUGUUCCACUCCAAAAUGUGAAAAGAGGAAGACCGGGGACAUGGAGAGGGUAAAAUAGAAUCUUUGAGACACAGAGAAGGGCAAUCCUAGAAUGACUGUUUUUCAGGACUGGAAAACAACCAUUGUAGGAACAGUAAUACAGGGAGUCCCUGAAGGCAUUUCUAAAAUGAUAAUGAAAAACUUACGUAUUACCUGAUGUGUCGCACUGCACUAACAAUACGUGUUUAGUUCUGGAGAGGAGUGUGGGGGUGAACUAAUGAUGGGUAGACACAUGAGAACACAUGAGAAGUACAUAAAACAUGAUGCAAACUGAAAAGAGUAUUUUAACUCUAUGGAAAGUAAGAUGUAUAAGAAAAGAAAUAUAAUUGAUGAACUGAAAUAAUUGAUUUAACUAAAAUUACUUUUUUUUUAAAUGUUUUUUUUUAAUGUUUUUAUUUAUUUCCAGGAGAGAGAGAGA